ensembl:lncRNA
CCUGGCUAGACCACACAAGGUACAUUAAAUAGUUGUGACAGACAGGCAUAUAUAAGCACUUUAAUAACACAACUUUACUGAAAUGGCAUAAAAAAAAAAACUGACUUUUGGCCAUAAAAUAGUUUAAUAUUGUGUAUGAAGCUGAUUGACUCAGUGAGUCAAAGAUGUUUCCAUAUCUGUCAUAAUCAUCUCUCUUCAUGUAAUCUGACCGUCUGGCUGAAUGAACUUCCUGUGUGAUCUACCCUGAGGAACACAAGCAGCGUUGUCAGCCACACCCAGACUCAGAAAUUAAAGGGUGGUUUUACUCUGUACUUUUAACUGAUUACCAUCGUCCUGACUACGCCUCAAGGAGCAAAAACUCGGUCGGUACACAGCAAAACAGCAGGGAACAGCAGGGGUUCAGAAAGAGAGAGCAUUUAAGUUUGGAGUUUCCUGUGAACUAAACUCACGACUGAAUUUACAGCCUCUGACUGGCACAAGAAUUAACGUGGGAAGAACACGCGGAACUCUGUGUGAGAACCCAUCUGUUUCCCCGCUGAACAAUUCCUACAUCCUGCAGGUCAUUUACUUUCACUCACGAUACAGAGUCCUAAGCCACACUGUGCCUCAGUACAUCUCUUUGUAUCCUUAGUUAGCCCCUCCCCCUGAUGCAUGUCUCCACACUGUGGCGUAGGCAUCUGCCCUCAACAUCUGUCACCACCCGUCACUGUGAUGUCAUCCACCCAGACCAGCUUAACGCCCAGCCCCCUCUGUACAGAUACAGAGAGCGAGCCACAGACGCCGACUAGUCACAGUAUGACAAUAACACCCAAUGACUGGACCAAAAGAUUUUCCUUUAAGGGACAGAGAUGUACUUUGAAGACAAGACAGUAAAAGU